rnacentral:rRNA from 1 species
UACGGGGGGGAGCAAGCGUUGUUCGGAUUUACUGGGCGUAAAGGGCGCGUAGGCGGUCGUGACAAGUCACUUGUGAAAUCUCCGGGCUUAACUCGGAACGGUCAAGUGAUACUGUCGGACUAGAGUACAGAAGGGGCAACUGGAAUUCUCGGUGUAGCGGUGAAAUGCGUAGAUAUCGAGAGGAACACCUGGGCGCAAGGCGGGUUGCUGGGCUGAUACUGACGCUGAGGAGCGAAAGCGUGGGGAGCAAACAGG